rnacentral:rRNA from 1 species
UACGUAGGGCGCAAGCGUUGUCCGGAAUCAUUGGGCGUAAAGAGCUCGUAGGUGGUCUGUUACGUCGGCUGUGAAAUCCCGAGGCUCAACCUCGGGUCUGCAGUCGAUACGAGCAAACUAGAGUGUUGCAGGGGAGACUGGAAUUCCUGGUGUAGCGGUGAAAUGCGCAGAUAUCAGGAGGAACACCGGUGGCGAAGGCGGGUCUCUGGGCAACAACUGACGCUGAGGAGCGAAAGCGUGGGGAGCGAACAGG